rnacentral:rRNA from 1 species
ACUCCUGCGGGAGGCAGCAGUGGGGAAUAUUGCACAAUGGGCGCAAGCCUGAUGCAGCCAUGCCGCGUGUAUGAAGAAGGCCUUCGGGUUGUAAAGUACUUUCAGCGGGGAGGAAGGCGAUAAGGUUAAUAACCUUGUUGAUUGACGUUACCCGCAGAAGAAGCACCGGCUAACUCCGUGCCAGCAGCCGCGGUAAUACGGAGGGUGCAAGCGUUAAUCGGAAUUACUGGGCGUAAAGCGCACGCAGGCGGUCUGUCAAGUCGGAUGUGAAAUCCCCGGGCUCAACCUGGGAACUGCAUUCGAAACUGGCAGGCUAGAGUCUUGUAGAGGGGGGUAGAAUUCCAGGUGUAGCGGUGAAAUGCGUAGAGAUCUGGAGGAAUACCGGUGGCGAAGGCGGCCCCCUGGACAAAGACUGACGCUCAGGUGCGAAAGCGUGGGGAGCAAACAGGAUUAGAAACCCCUGUAGUCCCAUG